rnacentral:rRNA from 1 species
AUGGAUAGAGGGGGGGUGGGGUUCAGAGACCUUCAUGCUUUGAACCUUGCCAUGUUAGCUAAGCAAAGUUGGAGGUUUUUGACUCACCCGGAGACCCUUUGUGCGAGAGUACUUGGUGCAAAAUAUUUUCCGAAUGGUAAUUUGUUGAAAGUUGGACCCAAGAAAGAAUCUUCAUACACUUGGAAAAGUAUAUUGUUGGGCAUCCAGACAUUCAAAAGGGGGCACAUUUGGAGAGUUGGGAUAGGAGAGAAAAUCAACAUAUGGGAGGACCAUUGGAUCCCUUUAAUCCAAAACAGAAUGAUUUUGAAAAGGAAAGGGAAUACUUUGCUAUGCACUGUUGAUGAGUUAAUUGACCCAUUGACUAGUUCUUGGGAUGAGGAGCUCCUGCAUGGUAUCUUCCUUCCUAUUGAUGUUCAAAGGAUUCUGGCAAUACCCCUCUCUGAACAUCUUACUGAGGAUUUCAUGGCGUGGCAUAAAACAAAAAUAUAUGUGUUCUCAGUCAGGUCAGCUUAUUAUUUUGAAUGGGAGCAUCAAUUUGGUGCGAAGAUUAUUGCAGAGGAAGGAACAUCUAAUAUAAACCAUGUUUGGUCUGCACUAUGGAAGCUCGAAGUGCCAAGUAAGAUCAACACAUAUGUGUGGCAUGCACUGCGAGGGUGA